AAUGAACGUUGGCGGCGUGGAUUAGGCAUGCAAGUCGUGCGAGAACUUUUCUUAGCUUGCUUUGAGAAGGGACAGCGGCGAAAGGGAGAGUAACGCGUGGUUACGUGCCCUCGAGACCGGGAUAGUGUCGGGAAACUGGCAGUAAUACCGGAUAACAUCUUCGGAUCAAAUGGUGUGAUUCCGCUCGAGGAUCGGACCGCGUACUAUUAGCUUGUUGGUGGGGUAACGGCCUACCAAGGCUGCGAUGGUUACCGGGUGUGAGAGCAUGGCCCGGCUCACUGGGACUGAGACACUGCCCAGACAUCUACGGAUGGCUGCAGUCGAGAAUCUUCGGCAAUGGACGAAAGUCUGACCGAGCGACGCCGCGUGCGGGAUGAAGGCCCUCGGGUUGUAAACCGCUGUCAGUUUGGAGGAAAUCCAUGGUGGUUAUCCAUCAUGGUUGACCGAUAUUCAGAGGAAGGACGGGCUAAGUUCGUGCCAGCAGCCGCGGUAA
rnacentral:rRNA from 1 species